UACGGAGGAUGCGAGCGUUAUCCGGAUUUAUUGGGUUUAAAGGGUGCGUAGGCGGACCGGUAAGUCAGUGGUGAAAGACGGCGGCUCAACCGUCGGGCUGCCAUUGAUACUGCCGGACUGGAGUACAAACGGCGCAGGCGGAAUGUGUCAUGUAGCGGUGAAAUGCAUAGAUAUGACACAGAACACCGUUCGCGAAGGCGGCUUGCGAGCAUGGUACUGACGCUGAGGCACGAAGGCGUGGGGAU
rnacentral:rRNA from 1 species